UGAUUUGUAAACAGACUGGUGAAGAAGUAGUAUAAAUGGUGGUGCAUCUGAUUGAAAUACACAUAAUUAUAGUGGAGUGCAAGCUGCAUCUGUUAUAAAGCUGUUCAUAUUUCAACAAGAAUGAAGACCAGAUCUGCAAGCGUGUUUUGCAAAUUGAGUAUCGUAUGUACGCUGCUGUGAUCCUUGUGAACUUUUACCAUUUGUCAUAUGGAUACAUGUAUAUAGGCUUAUAUAUAUAGGUACAUGUAGGAAAUAUAAACGUAAAUGCAUUGGAUCGUUGGUAUUAUCUAGUAUUAAAUACUGUAGUACUUAAAUACUCUUUUAUAAGUACUCAUCAUUGAAGAAGCAAAAAGAAGCAAUAAAAUAUUACUUUGGUUGUGUAAAGAUCUGUUUCUAUGUAUCUACACCGAAUAAAGACUAUCUUUGUAAUAUUGACCAUAGUUCAACAUUUUCUCACUGACUUGAUUAUCUGAAAAGCCUAACCCGUGAAGGCAACUAGAUUGUAGUUUUAUGUUGAUGGGCUGUUUAUUCAUUGUUUGAUUUUUUUGUCUUUUUUUUUUAUUGUGAAAAUAUUUUUUUGAAGCUAGUAAGUAACUGUAGUGAAACAAUCUUAAAACAUUUUUAAUUACGAUUCAGUGUGGUAUUGCCAUUUGCUGAAUGCAUUUCCGAUGAUUUUUUAAAAUAUAAAUUUUGUGUUUUCGUGAUUUUAUACCAAUGAUAUACAUUGUACAUAAACAAAUCUUAAUUUUUAUUUAUUUAUCACAAUCUUGACGAUUUAAUUUAAAAAAAGAAUAUAUUUCAAAAUGGUGUCUUUUUUGUACAGUGCAAAAAGAUUUUUAUUUAUGUCCUUAUUCCUUUCUUUUAUACUUUUGUACGUCACACCCUAUUUUUAUAAAAUGAAUUUAAUUUGUUCUUUUCUAAUUCAGGGAAAAACCUUUUAUUUGGUUUCCAGUGUUAGUAAGCACCAGUAAAAUACAUGUAUUUAGUUUAAUAGGAUCAUUUUUACUUAAUAUAUAUGAUAUUUUAGUUUCUUCUGCAUAAGAUUUGUAAAAUCAUUUUUCUAUAAUUUAUGUGCUAACGUGGUUUUAAAAAUACAUAAAAAUUAAAGUUUGUUGUC
rnacentral:misc_RNA from 1 species